rnacentral:rRNA from 1 species
UACGUAGGGCGCAAGCGUUAUCCGGAAUUAUUGGGCGUAAAGAGCUCGUAGGCGGUUUGUCGCGUCUGCCGUGAAAGUCCGGGGCUCAACUCCGGAUCUGCGGUGGGUACGGGCAGACUAGAGUGAUGUAGGGGAGACUGGAAUUCCUGGUGUAGCGGUGAAAUGCGCAGAUAUCAAGUGGAACACCAGUGGCGAAGGCGAGUCUCUGGACAUUUCCUGACGCUGAGGCACGAAAGCCAGGGGAGCAAACAGG